UACGUAGGGAGCAAGCGUUGUUCGGAUUUACUGGGCGUAAAGGGCGCGUAGGCGGCUUGUCAAGUCACUUGUGAAAUCUCUGGGCUUAACCCAGAACGGCCAAGUGAAACUGACAUGCUAGAGUGCAGAAGGGGCAAUCGGAAUUCUUGGUGUAGCGGUGAAAUGCGUAGAUAUCAAGAGGAACACCUGAGGUGAAGACGGGUUGCUGGGCUGACACUGACGCUGAGGCGCGAAAGCCAGGGGAGCAAACGGG
rnacentral:rRNA from 1 species